AUUGAACGCUGGCGGCAGGCCUAACACAUGCAAGUCGAGCGGAGCGGCGGACGGGUGAGUAAUGCCUAGUAAUCUGCCUGGUAGUGGGGGAUAACGUCCGGAAACGGGCGCUAAUACCGCAUACUAUCAGAUGAGCCUAGGUCGGAUUAGCUAGUUGGUGGGGUAAAGGCCUACCAAGGCGACGAUCCGUAACUGGUCUGAGAGGAGGAUCAGUAAAACUGUAACUGGGAAACGGUCCAGACUCCUACGGGAGGCAGCAGUGGGGAAUAUUGGACAAUGGGCGAAAGCCUGAUCCAGCCAUGCCGCGUGGGUGAAGAAGGUUUUCGGAUUGUAAAGCACUUUAAGUUGGGAGACGUUACCAACAGAAUAAGCACCGGCUAACUGCGUGCCAGCAGCCGCGGUAUAC
rnacentral:rRNA from 1 species